GACGAACGCUGGCGGCGUGCUUAACACAUGCAGGUCGAACGGAAAGGCCCUGCUUUUGUGGGUUGCUCGAGUGGCGAACGGGGGAGUAACACGUGAGUAACCUGCCCCUGACUUUGGGAUAACUUCAGGAAACUGGGGCUAAUAUCGGAUAGGAGCUCCUGCUGCAUGGUGGGGGUUGGAAAGUUUCGGCGGUUGGGUAUGGUCUCGCGGCUUAUCAGCUUGUUGGUGGGGUAGUGGCUUACCAAGGCUUUGACGGGUAGCCGGCCUGAGAGGGUGACCGGCCACAUUGGGACUGCGAUACGGCGCAGACUCGUACGGGAGGCAGCAGUGGGGAAUAUUGCGCAGUGGGCGGAAGCCUGAGGCAGCAGCGUCGCGUGCGGGAUGACGGCCUUCGGGUUGUAAACCGCUUUCGCCUGUGCCGAAGCGUGAGUGACGGUAAUGGGUAAAGAAGCACCGGCUAACUACGUG
rnacentral:rRNA from 1 species